rnacentral:misc_RNA from 1 species
AGGUGCUUGGCUGCCCACCAGCAGCCAAGGCCUUGGCCAGGCCUCCCCCCCGUUCCCCCCACACCACUAGCUUGGUGUGGGGGGCACGUGGGCAACGGGCGUGYCCAUCGGUCCGACGACCCACGGUCGGUCCGGUGGCCCGUCCGGCGGCCGCCCCUCCGGCGGCCACUCGGUGCGGAAAAAAUCGGAAAGUGGGAAAAAUUUCGAACGGCGCGGUGCGUUCGAUGUAGCCUAUCCUCGGAGUCCUAACGAUGCCAUCGGGAGGGAAAAGCAUCACGSUUKGAUUUGCCAASGUUCGACUUGCCGAAAACGUUAGCUACGGCCUCGGUCGUGUGCUGCUAACGCCAGUAGGUGGGCUGGGCUGCGGUGGUCUGGGCGCGGUGGUGAAGCCUUCUCGGUGUGCAUCGCUCGGUGACCCUUCGACGUCCGUUACGGGGGAAAAACAUUACGCUUGGAUUUGCCGAUGCUCUACUCAUUCGAAAACGUUAGCCGUGGCCUCGGCCGUGUGAGUCUAGCAGUAGGUGGGUUGGGUGCGGUUGUCCAGGCGUGGUGUGAAGCCUUCUUGGUGUGCAUCGUUGCUCUUUCUCGGUCACCCUUCGAUGCCCAUUGUGGGGGCGAUUAGCAUUGCGCUUGGAUUUGCCAAGGUUCGGCUUGUCGAAAACGUUAGCUACGGCCUCGGUCGUGUGCUGCUAACGCCAGUAGGUGGGCUGGCUGCGGUUGUCUAGGCGUGGUGUGAAGCCCCCGUGGUGUUCGUCGGCGCUCCUUUGAUUUUCGUUGCCUUUCGCGUCUAGCGGUGCUGGUGUGGCCUAUCUCGAUGUUUCCGCAUGCUCGAUGAUGCUAGUUGUCGUCGGGUUGCGGUUCGUUUGGUUGGGCCAUCGCUAAGUGUACGCAACGGACGUAUGAGUGGUGUUUGGAUGGCAUGGGCUUGCAGGCUCCUUGCUUGUGCAACGAACUGUGAGCCAUCCAUUCUUUUCAUGAUUUCCCCAAGCACGAUCGUCGUCUUGCGGGUUAGACCGAUAUCCUGUGUUGCUUACCGACGGAAUGGAAUUUGCUCGGAUUCAUGUCUUCAUCCUCCCGGCGCCUUUUAGGUCGUCGGGUGGACGAGGAGCCUGCCCCGUGCUCCACGCAUGCCUCCCUUCGUCGAGUGGCUGCCGUGGCUCGUGGGGUUGUGCUCGUUCUCUCGGAUGCGGAUCGUAAUGUGCGGGCGAGGGGUCACGACCUCCGUUCGUCCGAAGGAUGCCUUUGUCGAUACGACACGAACGACGGCCGUUCUCGUCUUGGCUCCGGAGUCGCACGGCUUCGUGAGAUUUCAUGCGAGCGUCGGCGUCGCGAAGGAAUGC